rnacentral:rRNA from 1 species
UACGAAGGGGGCUAGCGUUGCUCGGAAUCACUGGGCGUAAAGCGCACGUAGGCGGACUCUUAAGUCGGGGGUGAAAUCCUGGAGCUCAACUCCAGAACUGCCUUUGAUACUGGCGAGCUUGAGUCCGGGAGAGGUGAGUGGAACUGCGAGUGUAGAGGUGAAAUUCGUAGAUAUUCGCAAGAACACCAGUGGCGAAGGCGGCUUACUGGCCCGGUACUGACGCUGAGGUGCGAAAGCGUGGGGAGCAAACAGG